rnacentral:rRNA from 1 species
GACGAACGCUGGCGGCGUGCUUAACACAUGCAAGUCGAACGGAAAGGCCCGGCUUUUGUGGGGUGCUCGAGUGCGAACGGGUGAGUAACACGUUAGUAACCUGCCCUUGACUUUGGGAUAACUUCAGGAAACUGGGGCGAAUACCGGAUAGGAGCUCCUGCUGCAUGGUGGGGGUUGGGAAGUUUCGGCUGUUGGGGAUGGACUCGCGGCUUAUCAGCUUGUUGGUGGGGUAGUGGCUUACCAAGGCUUUGACGGGUAGCCGGCCUGAGAGGGUGACAGGCCACGUUGGGACUGGGAUACGGCACAGACUCGUACGGGAGGCAGCAGUGGGGAAUAUUGCACAAUGGGCGGAAGCCUGAUGCAGCAAAGCCGCGUGCGGGAUGACGGCAUUCGGGUUGUAAACCGCUUUCGCCUGUGACGAAGCGUGAGUGACGGUAAUGGGUAAAGAAGCACCGGCUAACUACGUG